UACGCGACUGGUGCAAUUGUACCACUCCCAAACGACCGAGGGUAUAUAAAUAAAAUAACUAGGCCUAUAUUAAUUUGAUCGGAAUGGAUCCGUCUCUUAUUACUAUCUAUGGAACUCUGUACUCACUAUAUGUCUAUGGAACAACGUAGGACAACAUAACCUACGUCAAAUAUUGUAGUAGUGUUCUAAAAUAUUUGCAUAUAUACAACGACAACAAAAAAAGAAACACAGUGGUGCUUGCUACAGUGUGUGAUUAUUUUAAAUUUAAUGGCAUUAUUGUUUUUGCGAAAAUAUCUACACGUCAGUGCAACGAAAUUGACACAGCCCGUCGUGUCACAUCCACAACUCACAGAUCCUCAGCAAAUCGAGAAACGUAAAAGGUUUUGGGAGUUGGAGAACGAACUUGAAUCGAAAGUUAAUUAUGAAAGCCUGAGCGAAGCGGAGAAAAAUAUUCACGCCCUUCAUAGAAUAGCUGUCCUUAGAGGUCACUUUACGUACGAUGACCCGGACACAGGAGAUCGAGUUCUGACACGCCUCAGGCACUUCUUGAAAGGAGCAUGUUGCGGCAGUGCUUGCAGACAUUGUAUUUAUGACCAUGUAAAAGUUCCGGAAGUGAAGAAAAAAGGUCGGAGAUUUAACUCUGCUUUCUGGUUGUACGACCAGGUUGAGGAGGAUAGUGAAGAAGACGAAAUGCUUAAAAGAAUGUACCGUCCACCACCAAGGAAGCAAGCUAAUUUGAGAAAAUCCUAGAAUGUGCACAACAUGUAGCAAAAUGGUAGAGUAUCUGUCCAUUUUGUUUUUGACUGUGAUAUACUGAGUAUUUGAGUAUGUUUUCUUUUUGAUGCAUAUGAACUAAAUGCUACUUUAGUUGCUUUUAACAUAUUAUACAAUAUUUAUAAAUACAUAUUCAGUUUUCUUGAAUUUUUCAACUAUUUUCUCCUGGAUUCCAUGAAAAAUAAUAAAAACUUAUAGAACAUUCAUCAGUGAAAUAAAAUAUAUUAAGGGUAAUAGUACCCACCAUUUAUAAUAUAUUAUUUUUAAAUUUUGGGCCACAUUUUAAAUUUUUUUUAGCAUGACAAGGCAAAAACAAGUUCUUCCCAAGCUUUUAUUCUUGUAACAAUUGAAUAUUUAGUUAACGGGUUGGUAUAAAUAACUGAUAAUUUCACACAUACUGACUGUAUUUUUUUCAAGUUAUAAUAUUGGUCUUUAUUAGGCGUACAGUAAAUUAAUCAAAUUUU